rfam:Oryza glaberrima chromosome 3 Oglab03_0093_4, whole genome shotgun sequence.
UUUAAGUGCAACCAUAAAUUUUCGCAUCUAACUUUGAUCGUUCGUCUUAUUUAUUUUUUUUAUAAUUACUAUUUUUGUUGUUAUGAGAUGAUAAAACAUGAAUAAUACUUUACUGUUAGCUUAUGUUUUUAUUUUUUAAAAAUUUUUUUAAUAAGACGAACGGUCAAAGUUAAACGUGAAAAAUCAUAGCCGCACAUAAA